GAAAAUGAUCCUAUAGCCAUGGAUGUGACUUCCUCAGCAGAAAAGAAGAAAACGCCUGUUGGACGUGAGUGGAAGGACAACCACAGAGCUUGGGUUAGUUCCUCUGGUUGUUAAGUUUAUUCCAAGAAGGGUGUGCGGGCGCGGGAGGGGGGUGUAGUCUGGAGAAUGUGGUGACUGACAGACGGGCGCUCUGGAGGUGGGCACCGGCAGGGAGACGGGGUUGUAGGACGGGGAACCGGCAGGGAGAUGGAGAGGUCUGGCUAAGGCCUCCGUCCUUCGAGAGCCACCCUCGCCAGUCGGUGCCAGCCCAGCUGGGCAGAGCAGGGACCCCUCCAGGAGGGGCUGUCCAAUCCGCCCUUCCCUCCAGAGAAAAGGAGAGGGGAGCGCAGUGGCCCGGAUGGUGGGAAGGGUGGGAAGGAGUGG
rnacentral:lncRNA from 1 species